GAGGGUGCAAGCGUUAUCCGGAUUCACUGGGUUUAAAGGGUGCGUAGGCGGGUAGGUAAGUCAGUGGUGAAAUCCUAGAGCUCAACUCUAGAACUGCCAUUGAUACUAUUUAUCUUGAAUAUUGUGGAGGUAAGCGGAAUAUGUCAUGUAGCGGUGAAAUGCUUAGAUAUGACAUAGAACACCUAUUGCGAAGGCAGCUUACUACGCAUAUAUUGACGCUGAGGCACGAAAGCGUGGGGAUCAAACAGGAUUAGAUACCCUGGUAGUCCACGCCCUAAACUAUGAUUACUCGACAUUUGUGAUACACUAUAAGUGUCUGAGCGAAAGCAUUAAGUAAUCCACCUGGGAAGUACGUCCGCA
rnacentral:rRNA from 1 species